rnacentral:lncRNA from 1 species
CCAGAUCUAAGAGAUUGGACAAUCAGCAGAUCAUUUAUGUCAUCAGGGUUUCCAACAUCCCAUGGAAAAUUAUUAAAUAUAUCCCCACAAAAACGUCUGAUACAAAGUCUUUUUUUUUUUUUUUUUUGCAUCUUACUCUUACAAUUAAGUUAUAAUAAUAACUAUCCAGUUAACUUUAAAUAAUAUAGUAAAUAAUUUGACGAUAAAUAAAUUGAUUUGAUAAGUCAUGAGGCCUCCUAUCAUUUUGGUGUUUUUGUGGAACCCAAUUUCCGUAACUGACAAAAACCCUUAACAUGAUAGGAAUGUGCAAAGACAACUUGGUGGCCUUAUCCAAUCUUUGAGAAGCAUGAUUGAUUUUGGGAGCUUUGAAUGAUUUUUUAUUUUUUUUUUGUAUUAUCAUAUUUUCCCAAAUUUUCCGUGAUUUCGUUUUGUAUAUAUUUAAUGUAUUUAUAUUUUCUAGAAAAUAAAUAAUGACUCAUUGAUCAAUACACAUAUUAAUCUUCUAAUUUCUGUGGGUUUUGGCAAAUAGGUGGCUCAUGCAUUUUUUUUUCUUAGUAUUUGUUCUUCUGAGCUUGUUUAAGGGAGCAUUAAGCUAAAGUGCCCAUUUUACUUCUAUACAUUGCUUUCAUUUCAAUUUUAUAUAUAAAAUUUGAUUAAAGUUAAUGUGCAAGCCAAAUAAGCUUUGAAACAUUAGAAUUGAAGUUUAAAAAUUAUGAAUUCAAAAAAAUUUAAAUGUGUAAUUUUUUUUCUAGCAAAUGAAUAUAAAAAUAGAAGUUUAAG